CUAGUACUCCCUCCGUUCGGAAUUACUCGUCCAAGAAACGAAUGUAUCUAGAUGUAUUUUAAUUGUAGAUACAUUCAUUUUUGUGACAAGUAAUUCCGAACGAAGGGAGUACAUA
rfam:Triticum aestivum genome assembly, contig: Triticum_aestivum_CS42_TGACv1_scaffold_159273_2DL